AGGGUUUUCAAUUCCAAGUAAAUUAAACGAGGGUUUUGGAUUUUCUCUUCACAGAGAGAGGACGAGGGUAAUGGGAAGGUACAGAAGCCGUAGUCGGAGCCUUAGCAGAAGUUACAGUCCCGUGAGACGUAAACGCCACGAUGAACCACGUGACCGGCGCCGAGAACGUCGCUCUCCGGGACCUUCUGGCCUUCUCGUUCGUAAUAUCCCCCUUAGCGCCAGGCCAGAAGAUCUUAGGGUCCCCUUUGAACGCUAUGGUCCCAUAAGAGAUGUUUAUCUUCCCAAGAAUUAUCACACUGGGGAACCACGAGGAUUUGGCUUUGUGAAGUUCCGUUAUGCCGAAGAUGCAGCUGAAGCAAAAGCACACUUGAACAAUACAGUUAUUGGUGGACGUGAUAUUAG
rnacentral:misc_RNA from 1 species